rnacentral:misc_RNA from 1 species
CUCUUGACUCUGCUGGAACUGGAAGUUGAAUGAGGUCGUUCAGCUGUUAUUGUUAUGCUCUGUUCUUGAUCUUCUUCAACUUCAAGACUUUAAGAACAGCUUGGGUUUUGUGAGCUCAAUGCAGAGAGAGGAUGAAGAAAUACAGGUUCAAUGAUCCAUCGAAGCAGACAACCCUCCAAAGGUACAGGCCUUACAUUCUCCUUUUUCUUGGCUGGAACCUAAUCGGAGUUUUAGGUUGGAAAUUUGCAACAUUUCAAGCUAAAGAUAAUGAUCCAACUUGGGAUUCUAAGUCAGAAGCUGAACGAAUCGUCUCUGUAUAUGGAGGUCAAGCAAUUAGACACAAAAUUACCAUUGGCAAGAGAUCAGAAGAUGAAACCGGGACGUCAUAGUUUUUCUGUAGCCUACAUAAAUAAUUUAGAUGUAUAUACAAUAGCAAAAUAAAUAUGUGAGGCACUAUGGGGAAAUCAGGUGAUUG